AACAGGAGAGGGAGCAAGCGCGAGAGGAUAUUAGAAGAGAGGCUUGUCUCCAAGAUAUGGAAGGAAGUGAGAAAUGACAGGGCUGCAAGCUUUGUAUGUAGGAGCCCGGCAGGGCGGGGGAGCGGCGAGGAGAGCCAAGUGGAUUCUCAGAAAAGGGGGGAAGCCAUCGAAGAGCUAAAGGUGAUUAGAGGGGGAUAUUGAUUUCUUAUUCUGCCAGAGAUUUAAGCAGGCAUGCGAGGAAUCUGCACCAUGGUUGGCAAAAAGAGACCCGUUGCCUCCUGUAACCAGACACUCAGGCUUUCCAGGAGCCCAGGGAGCAAGCCGAGAAGAAAGGGGGCAGUGUGGUCUAGGAAAAUUCAACUUGUCGCUGAUUUGUGCCUGAUGCCUGCUGUCCGUCAGCAGCCUCCCUUACAAUCUUUUUUUCUCUCUCUCCUUUUUUUUUCCUUGCCUUCUCCUUCUUCACUGAAGCCUAGGGGAGCCAGUAAAGAUUAAAUGUGCUUCUCAAAGGCAGCCACUUCAUGCUGCUAUGUCGAAAGGGCCAUUAUUAUUAUUAUAUUUUAAUGGUAAAAGAGAAAAGGAGAGAGGUUGAGCGAGCGAGAGAGAAGCUAGGUGUGAUGAUGACAGACUAGCUUUUCUGAGAGGAAAAGGAAAAGGGAAGGGAGAGAAAAAGGAGAGCCUCUGAGCUCAACGGAGGAUUGUGCCUGAGAAGAACCCACAGAGCUGGUCCUAUAGUACCCCUCCUCAGGAAUGUCUCCCCAGUGCAAGGACAAAGACUGAAGAGACUGCUAUAUUGAUGGACUCUCAAGCCAACUAUGAAGUUGAAACAAAGAAAGUGAUCACCUGAAGACACCUCCUCUGCUAAGAAACACCCCCAAAUUGUGCAGCUUCUGCCACUAGAACUCUCAGAACAAGAGACAAUCUUUUCAAGAAACAGAAAAACUCAAUAAUGACAUCUAGAUUUUCAUGAGCCAAGAACUUUCCCUUCCUCAUGUGUAUUCCUCUGUUUGUACUUAAAUUCAUGUGACAUUCAUUUUUUUCCUAGUAUGGAUAUGCUUAUUAAUGCACUUGUUUCAAAAUCCCAAAUUGCACAAAUGUGUUAAUAUUUUAAGAAACAAAAUGAAUCCUACAAGGAGAAUGAUUUUUAGCCACACAUAGGGUUGGAUCUUGAGAGUGACCUACAGAAUAAAAGUACUUUUAAAAUAAAGUAGUCAGAGGCUAUUCAAAGGGUAAAAUAAUCAUAGUACCACAUUGGUCCACUUGACACUAACCAAUCGAUCAUUUUUUUUUAAUCAAGAAAGCUAGAUUCUAUCAGAUAAAAUCACUGCUUCUAAAGAGUUUAAAUCUAGUUAGAAAAAGUUAUAGAAAUGUUUGCAAAGAUAAGUAACAGAUAGAGUCAGUAGAGGAUAAGAUCAAAAACAAAACCAAGCAAAAGAUGAGUUCAGGGGAGUUUGCCAUCAAGUUGGCAAAACUGACUUACUUAGGGAAGAAAGUUAUAAAACAGGAAAAUAUGAGAUGAACCUUGAGUGAUGUGGAAGAUUUAGAUAAAUGGAAAGGAAGGAGAAAAUGGAGUUCUUUAGGUGGUUGUAAUUGGAGGAGGAAAUGAAUACACACAUCUUGUUGACUUAAACCCAGACAUUCAGCAGCUCUCUAUACAUAUCUGGAAAAGACUGCACAGUCACCUCCUGUCUCUCACCCCAGGUAUUACUUAGAAUUAUUAUCAUAUUUCCCUUCCUUUAAAGUAAGUAAGGGUGAUUGGUGACAAUAUGGAGAACUAUGAUUUUUCCAUUAACCUAAUAAUAAUUGGUAUUUAUUGAGUUCUGUUAAGCAUUUUACAUAUUAACUCACUUAAGCCUUUCAACAGCCUUGCAAAAUAGGUAUUAUUAUCCCCAUUUUACAGGCAAGAAAACUGAGGUUUAAGUAACUUGCCGAAGUGCCAUAUACAGGGCUCACAUUCAGUAUUGCAGUUGCAAAGCUCAUGAUCUAUAGUGCCAAGUUGCAAUAUUGUAGUCAAUGUCACAAUUAUUACCCCUUUUUAUAUUCCUUGAUAUUUUUCCAUGGCAAACAAUUAGCUAUUUCAUUUAAUAAUCACCUAAAACUUUUCAGUCUUCUGAUUAAAAUUACGCUGGAGUGAUAGAAUGUAUUUUCAUGAUAGAAAUUGGGAAAAAAAAUGGGGAAUGAAGUUUAUCAGCAUUUCAGACUUGUUUUUUUUUUUUUUUUUUGCAAGACUUUGAUGAGAUUGUUCACUUUUGUCUAUGUAAAAUCCCAAAUCCUUGAGAAUAAAAAAGGGGGAGGUUUAAGUCACUUGUUGCAAUGCCCUUUUUAAUAGAGGCAAUAAAUCUAAAGGCCAUAAAUUUAGAGUGACUUACAGAAGAUCGAACUUUGGAGUGUGGCAGAGUAAGGGAUGGAAACCGGGCCCUCCAGUUCACUAUCAGUAGCUUUUGCACUGGUCUGCCCUUCCUAAAUUAAGUAUGCACUUCAAUUUGAUGAGUGGAAACAGUCUAUCUGGGCAGUAACCAGGGAGCUUUGUGCCUAGUAGAUUGCUUCUGUUCUGCACUUCUUUGGUUUCCCACCUCAAUGUAAAAAAUAGCUAGCAAUGAAGUCCAGAAGUUGUCAAUGGUUCAUCCCCAGAAGAAUGCAUAAUGUCCAAAGUUGUAUGUGUAUGAUGUCUUCAAUGGUAUUAAGUUAUUUCAAAUUCUUAGUUCACCUACAUAAAUCAUUUCUAACAAGCAUCUUCUUAACCAACUUUAUGCACAGUGUAUGUUUGUAAGUGCUUCUGCACGAAUGUUUAUACAUGACUGUUUCCAUAGUACUUAUGUUUUUAAAAAUAUUCAGUCAUUUCCUACUAUAAUCCUCAUGUAUCCAUGUAACUGACUCAAAAAUACUUCAGCCACAGAAAGCUAAAACUGAGCAAAUCUCAUUCUUCUUUUCCAUCCCCUUUGCAUGUGGCUGGCAUUUAGUAAUGAUUAAUAAUAUGGCCAGCUGAAUAACAGAGGUUUGAGACACAAUUCUUUCUCAAAGGAGUCAGCUAAGCUGGGUCUACUUAUGGACAAACAUCUAAAUGUGUGGAAGUAUCUGAUAUUUGACAAUGGUAAAUUUCCACUUAGCUAGCUAGCAUUGUCAGACUUCAAUCUCCUCAUGGCUCUGGCCGUCCUGUUUUAAGCAUGAUAAUUGUUGGCCACAUCUCACAUAGUUCUCAUUGAGUGAGUUCAUAAAUAAACAGGGUUUUUUUUUUUUUUUAAAGAGCAGCCAAGCACAAAGUGUGACUUUGUUGACAUUUUAUGUGACUUUGUCAUAUGUUCCUAACCCCCAAUAAAAGCAAUGUUGCAUCAACUGUGAA
rnacentral:lncRNA from 1 species